AAAGAAGAGAGCAUUACCUUAUUUAUAGACUUUGGGCAUUACUACCUAGCGGCUUAAAUGUGAAAGCUGAGAAGGCUGUGGCUAAUGUGAACUUACCAAAAGCUGCCCAGUUAUGCUUACAACCUCACUAAUGAGUUGAGUUCAACAUUUCUGAGGUUACUUUUGCCAGAAGGAUUCUAAGACAGUCUUGGUUGACCACUGGGGUGCUAGGAUGGCGACAUCAUUUUGGAUAUUUUAACCACUGAGUUUUCCUCUCUGACUCUGUUACGUGGAGACUGGGCUGCACAAGUGAAACAGGUGUGUCUCCUGAUUAACCCUCUUCUGGAGAUCUCACGUCUAUGGAUGCAGCCUGGGAGAGCACGAGGGGUUUCUGAAGCCAUGUCACCCUGAUGACUCGGGUGGAGUUCUUGCCCCCCAGCCCUCCAUCCCUACCCCAGAAAUCUAUCAUGUAACUCCUGCUGCUAGCGAACGCCCUUUCUCUCCCAUCCUCGUGCUAUACUUUCUUAGCCCCAAGGAAAAAAGGUUGUGGAUACCUGUUGGAUUUCAUUUUGUUCAGUUUGCCCUCAGCCUGUCAAUUGUGCUAUCAAAGAAGCUCUCCAGGUUUGUGUCAUUCCAGAAUUUGAUAUACGUAUUGGGUAGAUUUCCAUGGUGCUUCUGGGCAGAACAAGGACAAAUUGAGGGAUGGUACAAAACGCAGGUUUAACUUCAACGUAGGGAAAACUUGGAAAAAUCAGAAUGGUCUCAACAUGGAAUGGGUUUCCAUGGAGGGUAGUGAAUUCCUUGUCAGUGGAGAUGUUCCGAGUGUGGCUGCUUGAUCAAGGGGGGGGGGGGGUGGAGUCCCGUGGAUCUCGACCCUCCUGUCACAUUAGAAUCAUCUGGGGAGUUGUUUAAAGCUCCCUGUGCUUGCCCCUUUCCCUCCCUUAGUCUUCUUUAAUUGGUUCCACAUGGGAGCAGACAUCAGAUUUAAAGCUUAAAACUCCCCAGGUGAUUCCAAUGUGCCCCCAGAACUGAGAGAGUCUACUGUAGAAAAAAAAUUAAAGUUCAGAAAGUUGGGUCUGACAACCUAAAACUCUUCCUUUCAUCUUGGAAAUGAUAUUAUUUUAACUUCCUAUUUGGUAUCGAGUCGGUGCUUAGGUGCUUUUGGACGCUGACCUCCUUUUCCUCCCCAUGUUUUCUUUCAACUAAGCUCUCCCCCGUGUCCACCCAGAACAUCUUUGUGGAAGACAGUUGGUUGCCUCUCCUGUGGCCCCUCUUCCUCUUGGGUGCUGGUGUGUUUUGCUCCCUUUGAGAUCAGUUGCCUUAAAGUGCUCUGUUGCCCUCACACACUGGAAAUCACAGCACUUUCUCCAGAGGGACAGUUUUCUGUAGAACUGGCCAUUUUAAAUAGUAGCACAAGAUUGAAGAAAACACAUUUAAAUGUGGAAAGGCCAUUGACAGUAGCCGUAAGUGUAAAUUUUCUUUUUUUGGGCCCAUAUGUUGAACUGGUUUAAAAAGCCCCAGAUUCUUGUUUACUUAGUUGGAAAACACAUUAAGGAAUGAUUACAGGGGCCUCCAUUUAGGGGCGCUUGUUAAUUAUCUGCUUCCUGCAGAGAAAAGAUGAGGUUGGGUGGAGGAAGGGCAUAAAGGCAGAGAGAGAGAGAGGAAUCAACUGCAGGACCCCAGCCUGUAAUAGAGGUAAUGACCUGAAGUCCCCUCAUCACAGAGUCUACAUCCUGUUUUUCUGUCGAGUGAACUUAUCUUGAAAUCUGAGAUGCCCCUUCCCCUUUGUCCUUUUCAGACUCGCUGUCUGCUCUUUCCUUCUUUUUAGCUGCCUUGAGAGCACUGGACACAGUGCCAUUCUAUAGAGUUAAUUCUUAUGUCUCUUGCUUCCUUUCAAGAAAAAGAUCAGGGCUUGACAUUAUGACAGGUCUCCUCAAAGACCUGUGAGAGGGUAAAGUUCUUUAAAAUAUAAUCAUUUGCUUCUAGGCGAAUAGCAGCAAUUCUUGUUCCCAAACUUUAACCUUCCAACCAUUAAAUGUUAAAUGUAAAUAAGAUAAACCUUUAUAUUGCCUUAAAUACCUUCCUU